rnacentral:rRNA from 1 species
GGUGAGCUACCCCGAGACAGCCUAUAUUAAUUUAGGGCUAACCCGUCUCUGUGGCAAAAGAGUGGGAAGAGCUCCGGGUAGAAGUGAAAGACCUACCGAACCUGGUGAUAGCUGGUUGACUGAGAAAUGGAUAGAAGUUCAGCCUCGCACACCCCAAACCAAAAAGUAUUAUCAACAAGAUAUUAAGGGAAACGUGCGAGAGUUAGUUGAAAGGGGUACAGCCCUUUUAACAAAGGAUACAACCUUUACAGGAGGAUAAAGAUCAUAAUGUAUAAGAUGUACUGUUCUAGUGGGCCUGAAAGCAGCCACCUAAACAGAAAGCGUUAAAGCUCGGACAGAAAGAAGUUUAUUAUACUGAUAAAAAAUCUUAUUCCCCUAGCUAUAUCAGACCAACCCAUGCCUCCAUGGAAGAGAUUAUGCUAAAAUGAGUAAUAAGAAGACCCGCUCUUCUCCCAGCACAAGUGUAAACCAGAUCGGACUAACCACUGGAACUUAACGAACCCAACCCCAGAGGGUAAUGUGAUUAACAAAAAACUCAAGAAGACCUCACAUUGAUUGAUCGUUAACCCCACACUGGAGUGCUAUUUUAAGGGAAAGACUAAAAGAAGGGGAAGGAACUCGGCAAACACAAGCCUCGCCUGUUUACCAAAAACAUCGCCUCCUGCAACUAGACUGAGUAUAGGAGGUCCAGCCUGCCCAGUGACUACGGGUUCAACGGCCGCGGUAUCUUGACCGUGCAAAGGUAGCGCAAUCACUUGUCUCUUAAAUAGAGACCUGUAUGAAUGGCUAGACGAGGGCUUAACUGUCUCCCCCCUCCAGUCAGUGAAAUUGAUCUAUCCGUGCAGAAGCGGGUAUAAAUAUACAAGACGAGAAGACCCUUUGGAGCUUAAGGUACAAAAUUCAGCCACGUUAAACAACUCUAUAAGAAGCAAGAACUUAGUGAUAAUGAAAUUUUACCUUCGGUUGGGGCGACCGCGGAGGAAAAACAAGCCUCCGAGUGGACUGGGCCGAAUCCCUGAAGCCAAUAGAGACAUCUAUAAGCCGCAGAACAUCUGACCAAAAAUGAUCCGGCUAAAAGCCGAUCAACGAACCAAGUUACCCAAGGGAUAACAGCGCAAUCCCCUCCCAGAGCCCAUAUCUACGAGGGGGUUUACGACCUCGAUGUUGGAUCAGGACAUCCUAAUGGUGC